GCGCGCUCGGUCCCCAGCUCCAGGGCUCGCCCCGCGGCCGUACACCCUUCACCCCCGGGAGAGGCGGGGGCCGCGGGCGGGCGAAGGGGGAGGGAAGUCCCCUUUACGCUUCCCCUUCCUUUCCUGUCUACUUUGACGGGGAGGGUACGUGGGCGCACCGCUGGGUUGCGACCUGAGGCCGUGGGGACAGGUCAGGUAGGAGCAUCAGCCUGCAGAGGGUGCCCAGGGCCCAAGAACCAGCUGGAGAAGCCUUUCCUGUGUGUGUGUGGGAAAUGCAGCCCUUUUCUAAUAGCACGCUGGGUGCAGGUACUGGACUAGCCGGGCAGCAACCCUUCUGGCAGUUGCCAUGAUUUGGUGAAGGAUUCUGAAGGUCCUGCCGUUUGGGGGCCAAAUAAUUGUACCUUUGUGAGGCUGUGAGCUGGUCAGAUGCCCAGAAUGGGAAGACGCGUUCAAAGUGAAAGUGGGCACCUUCGGGAACAUUGGAGCCGAUAGCCCUGGACUCCCUUCCAUCCAGGCUACCUGCCAGACCCGGAAAAACGAAAACACAGCCUGGGAAGCCCCCACCAACCGGUGCCUGUGCCAGCUCACCUCUGGCUGUGGCGAGGCUGCCGGUGCACAUGGGCUGCCAGGGCCAGCUCCACGUUCUUCCCUCCCCUUCCACUUCACUGGAGCCGGGAGCCUUGCAUGCGGAGACUGCCAAAGUCCACUGGGUCCUUCCUCACCAAAAAUGGUGAGACAAGAUUUCAACUUGUCCGCUGAGGAGCCACAUCAGAAAGUUUCUGAAGAGGAAGGGCAGGGCUCCUGAACCCUCAGGACAACCAGUCUCAGGUCCCCAUACCAUGAAGAGCAUCCCUUGCACAGUGGCUGUACGGUGCCAUCCAAUUUCCUCAGGGUUGAAGUGCGGGAGAGCCGGCCUCUGAUACCUGGUUUUGGGAGGUGAGCGACUUUGAAGCCGGUUAGGGAGUGGUGGGAGAGCUCCUUGCUUUGGCAGUUGUCACUGUUUGGCUCUCCACCGGAUGUGGAAACCCAGUCUGCCUACGGGACCGAUUGCCAGUUAUCUAGGAGGAGAAACAGAAGCUCGGCGGCCGGAGGAACUUCGUCUUGCGCAGUGCGGGCCGGGUGGCGCUGAAGGAUUCCCGCCGCUGCUGGACUGCAGAGCCGAAGGCGCAGGGGGUGAGCUCGCCGUCGCUGGCCAGAGCAUCGGGAGCGCUGGGGCGGCCGGCAACCCGGUGCGAACAACGUGAAGAGGCUGAGGAUUCUCGCCACAGACGCUGUCGGUCCUUUGGCUGCCUGAAAAGAAAAGAAACCUAUGGCCGCCCUCCACCGUAGCUCGACGCUCACGCCCGCAACAAAACAGGAAGCCAGCGCAGGACUGUGGAUUCUUUAUGUCAACAAAUGCACCGAAGACCUCCGAGCGGUUGAAGGAAGUCGGGGGUUUAUAUGUACACUGGUCCCGUCGGCUGCAGCUUUCUCGCCAGUCCCAGACAACCAGUGAGGCAGCCAGGAGGCCUGGGCCCGCGGAAGCCCGACUCUCCCCAGAAUCCCGGAGACCUCGACACCCCUGGUUCGGGCUGUGAAAGAUUAACAACGCGCAAAGCAACCAGCAGAAGAAAGGGAACUCGAGAGCACAGCCACGAGGAAAGGGGAUUCAGGACCCCUUCAAGUACACACUGAGGUGUAAUGAGACUUUUACGGGCACUUUAUAUAUUGUAAUUCUGACGAUGUGUGAACUUUGAUAUCCCUAUACAGAUUCACACAUUAGACCUGCGCACACGCGCACUGAAUGUGCACAUCCAACGUCAACUGGGUGAAAUGUAGACAUCACACUGAGCCGCCCGAGGGGGAAAAAUAUCUUCCCUUGUCAGACUGGCCUGGUGACAUUGUUCCAGGUAGCUGGUCCCUCUGUCUACUCAUUGCCAGUUUUCAGGCUAUUGACCAUUCCCUUUUCAGGGUUCUGUACCUGUGUAACCUGCCCUCAGAGGAAGGUGCCCCCCUGACCAGCAUUUGCCCGGGUUGGCAGUCAACCCCAGAACCUCUGGCUGGCUCCGGGGACCCUCACUGAGCUGGUCUGGAGCAUCUGAUGCUGUCCAUAUAGCAGCCACCAUCCCUUUGUCCCAGGGCUGGAAUCCCUCUUGGCCCAAUGCUCAGGGAAAUGAAGCAGCUCAAUAGAAACGUUUGAUAUGAGUUUGUACAGAUGUUUACACUCUGGUGAGGGGGGCCGAGUACGGAAGCCCUACUGAUCAGCCCACAGCUUUGGGUUUGGAUACUUGGUUUAAGUGCUAGAAAGAGGACUUGGCAGAACGAAAGUAUCGGGGGUGGUGGGCUAAUUUCAAGGAAAUGAAAAAACAAAAACAAAAAAAGGAUAUUUUCUGUUUCUGGACACUGAAGAUUAAGUGUGUCCCUCCAAUGCUACCCAACAGAUCACAUUCCUUUUCUUAGGUCCCAUUUGUCCAAUACAAUUUUGUAAAAAAGUAUUAGGAUUCCUGAAUGCACAGGAAAGUACA